CCCUCUAAAACCUUAACUGGGAAAUCACUGUGGGAUUGAUGACUCCCUCACUCUUUAUCUCUUUUAAUUAGAAAUGUAAAAGAUAUGAAGACCCAGAGGCCAGAACACAUCUCCUAGUUUUUAUGACCCCGACGCCGCCUCGCUCCCCUUCCCCAAAUCACUCCUCUUCCUCCCUUCCUUCCUUCUUUCCACUCUCUCUCUCUCUACCUGGCCUUGUUUAUUUCCUCUGCCCCCUCCCUCCCUGCUGGCAUACUCUCCAUUCUCUUUCUUGUCACAGAUACCUUUACCCGUUUCUCCAUCACUUUCUCCAUUACCCUUUCUUUCUUUAAGAUGGCACGCCUGCCUGUCUGCUCACCGCACAGGAGGAAGGUGUUAAAUUUAUGGUCUUUGCACUUGAAAUGUUUCUCACCUUCCCUUCACCUCUCCUCUCUUUCCUUGACUGAUUCCUCAACCCUCUAUGGAUUCACUGCAUGUGUAACAAAUGAGGGAAAUGUCCUUUUUGUCUGUUCUGAUUCAAGCAGGAGACACACCUUGAAGGAUGCGCUGUUUCACACCACGGCUCUCAUCCCAUGUCCAAACAAACCUGCUUUCUUUUUUUUUUUUUAACCACAUCAAACCCAGAUGCACCUCCUCUUUAUAUCCCACCCAGAGCCCAGGACGUUAUUCCCUAACCGCUACCAGGAGCACUUUGGAUCACUGAGCUUUAUUCUCCUGAUCACUCUCAGAGGAGCUCCAUUAUCUCUCGUGUAUGUUGACUAAAGGUAAGGCUGCAGUUUGCUCACGUUCAGAGCAAACCAAGCGGAUGUGCAGCUCUCUCUCUCUCUCUCUCUCUCUCUAUCGCUCUUACUCUCUGGGUUUAAAAAUUCAAAUGAGUUUCUUUGGUAUGCCGCACUCAUGACCUACUUUUAUGGAAUCUUUACUAUUUUUAUGAAUAAUUGAUGCCCUGAGGCUGCAAGAAUAUUACAAGGGAGAUUUUUUACCCUUUAUUAAUUCAUCUCACCUUUUUUUCCAGGGGCCUUUCUUUACACAUUUCCAUUUUUCCCAUUUCUAGUGAACAAGCCUUCCUUCCUACCUACAGUAAUUAGUUAAUCAAGUAUCAUUGAUGUGGAAGGAUGAGUAUAUGGAAGUCUUAGACCUGGUGCCUUUAAAUUCCCCCAAACCCUCCCUCAGGUUUCCAUGACAACAUCCUACAAAAAAAGGGGAUAAGGGGAGGGGGGGUAUAUCCAUUUGAUUGUUCCUUGUAAAAUAGUGUGUAAUGUAUGGGCCUUAUUUUAAUUCCAGUCUGGUGUUAUUGAUCUGUCUUUAAUGAUAGUUAAUUAAAGCAAUCGUAUAAUUGAUAGAAUCUCAUCUCUGUUUAUCACCCUCCUCUGAUCCUCUCUUUCCCUCGCUCCGUCUUUUCUAUUAAUAAAAUCAAGGUGAAGCAUUAGUAUCCCACACUGGUGCGCUGGAAAAAGAUGGAUGUUUACUAUCAGUAGCCCUUUACAGAAAGAAAUCCUGUUAUUCAUCAGAAAGUCAGGGAACAUCAGGAACAGUGAUGUUGUCAAGGUUCGUCCUCUUAAGGAAAUAAUUUUUUGAAAAAUAUUGAUUUUUGUUCAUAUUUAUCAGGCCGAUCUGAUUAAGUGUAGUCAAGAACAGCUUGUUCUGAGUUAUCUUGUCUUAAGUGUUGUUUGCAUGGCUAUAUUCAGGCUUCUGUGACAAUCAAAUAUGACAACUUUGAAAUGGUUUGAUGUCCUUUCAUAUUUCACAGCUCUUUAUCAAAACACAGUGUUGUGUUAGGCAUCCAAUAUGAUCAGAUAUAAGACAAACAAAUCCACAAAAACGUCAGACCAUAUGCUCUUCUUAUAGUUUGAAACAUCCCUUCUUAGUUUCCGAGCUAAUUUCUUGAGAUAUGAUCAUUCUUGGACUUUUUGGUUUUAUUCAGUUGGACAGCUUAAAAGGGUGGGAGAUGACUUGCACUAAAUGCUGUCAGGAUCAGGAGUCGAUCAAUUUUCCUACUUUGUGUGCCAUUGUCUGUAACCUCUUUGCAUCACUAACUGAGCUAAAAUUAGCCAAACUUAACAAUUGAAAUAUGAUGUAUCUGGUGCAUCUAGCAGCAGAGAUAUGUUUUAAUUUUGCUUCCUUCUGUCUUAUAAAGAUUUCCCACAUUAAGAGAAAAGCAUUGGGGCGGAUUAACCCUUUAAUGCCUUUUGUAUCAUAUUUAUAUACAUACUUUUAUAUACUUCUAUCAAAUCAACAUGAUCAUCAAAUUACUAUAAAAAACCACCUGAAUACAGUCCGAUAAAUGCUAAAAAUGUCAUCUUUUAGUUUAUUAGUUUCCAAAAACAUCUAAUAUAUCAAAAAAGAUAAAUAAUAAUUAUAUUUACUAAAUUUCUAAGGAUAUUUUAAUUUUUUUGUUUUUUAGCAGUAAGUGAAAUAAACAUUUCAGCUCCAAAAAAAAUUGAAUUUUCAGGCCAUAAUUUGUGGUUUCAGGCAUCAAAGGGCUGCCUUUUUCACGCCCACGCCUUUCCAUCCUAGCUAAAAAAAAACAACUACAGUAAAAAGUUAGUCUGUCAUGUUUUUUUAAGACUACCGCCUGCACUCUUCCAACUGCAGAGUGAACAAAUCUUGGAAGCGAACCUUUAUCUGAUGUCCUUGUUCAGCAGGAGGCUGUGAUUUAUUCGCCUCUGAGCCCACAUCUC